rnacentral:rRNA from 1 species
GAUGAACGCUGGCGGCGUGCCUAAUACAUGCAAGUCGAGCGAACAGACGAGGAGCUUGCUCCUCUGACGUUAGCGGCGGACGGGUGAGUAACACGUGGAUAACCUACCUAUAAGACUGGGAUAACUUUGGGAAACCGGAGCUAAUACCGGAUAAUAUAUUGAACCGCAUGGUUCAAUAGUGAAAGACGGUUUUGCUGUCACUUAUAGAUGGAUCCGCGCCGCAUUAGCUAGUUGGUAAGGUAACGGCUUACCAAGGCGACGAUGCGUAGCCGACCUGAGAGGGUGAUCGGCCACACUGGAACUGAGACACGGUCCAGACUCCUACGGGAGGCAGCAGCAGGGAAUCUUCCGCAAUGGGCGAAAGCCUGACGGAGCAACGCCGCGUGAGUGAUGAAGGUCUUCGGAUCGUAAAACUCUGUUAUUAGGGAAGAACAAAUGUGUAAGUAACUAUGCACGUCUUGACGGUACCUAAUCAGAAAGCCACGGCUAACUACGUG